rnacentral:rRNA from 1 species
UAGAGUUUGAUCCUGGCUCAGGAUGAACGCUGGCGGUAUGCUUAACACAUGCAAGUCGAACGGAACCUUUCGGGGUUUAGUGGCGGACGGGUGAGUAACGCGUGAGAAUCGGCCCUCAGGUUGGGGACAACCAUUGGAAACGGUGGCUAAUACCGAAUAAGCCGAAAGGUGAAAGAUUAAUUGCCUGGGGAAGAGCUCGCGUCUGAUUAGCUAGUUGGUGGGGUAAAGGCCUACCAAGGCACCGAUCAGUAACUGGUCUGAGAGGAUGGCCAGUCACACUGGGACUGAGACACGGCCCAGACUCCUACGGGAGGCAGCAGUGGGGAAUUUUCCGCAAUGGGCGAAAGCCUGACGGAGCAAUACCGCGUGGGGGAGGAAGGCUCUUGGGUCGUAAACCUCUUUUCUCAGGGAAGAAUAAAUUGACGGUACCUGAGGAAUCAGCAUCGGCUAACUCCGUGCCAGCAGCCGCGGUAAUACGGAGGAUGCAAGCGUUAUCCGGAAUGAUUGGGCGUAAAGCGUCCGCAGGUGGCAGUGUAAGUCUGCUGUCAAAGGUCAGGGCUUAACCCUGAACAGGCAGUGGAAACUACACAGCUAGAGUGCGGUGGGGGCAGAGGGAAUUCCCAGUGUAGCGGUGAAAUGCGUAGAGAUUGGGAAGAACACCGGUGGCGAAAGCGCUCUGCUAGGCCGUAACUGACACUCAUGGACGAAAGCUAGGGGAGCGAAUGGGAUUAGAUACCCCAGUAGUCCUAGCCGUAAACGAUGGAUACUAGCGUAGCUCGUAUCGACCCGAGCUGUGCCGUAGCUAACGCGUUAAGUAUCCCGCCU